rnacentral:rRNA from 1 species
GACAGAGGGGGCAAGCGUUGCUCGGAAUUACUGGGCGUAAAGGGCGCGUAGGCGGGAUGGCAAGUCGGUCGUGAAAUCCCUCGGCUCAACCGAGGAACGUCGAUCGAUACUGCUGUUCUUGAGGAUUGCAGAGGAGACUGGAAUUCCCGGUGUAGCGGUGAAAUGCGCAGAUAUCGGGAGGAACACCAAUGGCGAAGGCAGCUUGCUGGGACGGUACUGACGCUGAGACGCGAAAGCGUGGGGAGCGAACAGG